ACCGGUUUUACUCUUAGUUUAAUAAAUGUACACGAUACAAAACUAAUUUAUGAGAUUUUGAAAAAUUAAACUUAUCAACUGAUACCUAAAAUACAUAUUACAAUAAAACAUAAUCAAAAACAAUAAUUUAAUUAAUGAUAAUCAAAGUUACUUGAGGUACUUCUAUUUGAAAAAUAUCAACUUUAUCAAACUAUGCAAUUGAAAAUGUAAAUAAUAAAUAAUAAAUUUGAAAUUAAAUUGAUAUAGAACAAAUUUAAUGUUCUGAGCAUAAAGUGAGCACGAUUUUACAAUAUUAAUUAAACCUAAUAGUAUUUUAAAUUUAAAAAAAAAAAAUCAUAAAAAUACAAUAAUAUUUAUGGUUGUUAAAAUAUACUUAAUUAUAAUAUGAAAACAAUUAAUUCUUAUAACUUUGAUGAUACAAAACUAAUUUAUGAGAUAUUGAAAAAUUAAACUUAUCAACUGAUACCUAAAAUACAUAUUACAAUAAAACAUAAUCAAAAACAAUAAUUUAAUUAAUGAUAAUCAGAGUUACUUGAGGUACUUCUAUUUGAAAAAUAUCAACUUUAUCAAACUAUGCAAUUGAAAAUGUAUAAUUAUUAUUAUUUUCUAAGGAAUUAUACUUGGCUAUUAAAAUAAUAAAUAAUAAAUUUGAAAUUAAAUUGAUAUAGAACAAAUUUAAUGUUCUGAGCAUAAAGUGAGCACGAUUUUACAAUAUUAAUUAAACCUAAUAGUAUUUUAAGUUUAAAAAAAAAAAAUCAUAAAAAUACAAUAUUUAUGCUUGUUAAAAUAUACUUAAU